UAUUAGAGUUGUUGACAUAUACUUAAUAUCUAGUCAUAGCUCUUGGGCAAUUUUCAAUAUUUUCGAAUUUUAACUUCAGCACAUUCAGAUUCUUAAGGAGGAGAAAGCCACAAAGGCACAUGGUUAAUAAGAAAAGAUAUUCAAACUUUUAGAUCCAGAUGAAUUCUUCCGCAUAUGCGUGCAACAUAUGCAAUAUGGAAUGGUGUGUAAGAAACUGUUGUCACCUUGAUUGCAACCAUAAAUUUCACGACGAUUGUAUGUUGACGGCAGUAAAAUCGACGCUGACUGAGGCGCAAACGGAAAGAUUAGCGUAUCUUGAAGAACGAUUAGCGCUCACUUCAGUUUUACUUGAAAGCUUUAACCCGAUGACGUUGAUACUACAACAUUUCUACGCAGAUUAUGAGCAGUUGUCCAAUUACAAGAAAGUAAUCCAGAGAGAGAUCGAUGAAUUGAUUUUGAUAUGUCCGUGCUGUCAGAGACGUCCAAGUACAGUAAUACGGUUCAAGUUCUAGAAUCCGUCCAUUGUGAAUUAUUCAUCUUCUUAUACAUCUUUUUAUAUAUCUUCUUAUACAUCUCUUAUAUAUCUUCUUAUAUAUCUCAAUGAUAAAGAAAUGGACGAAAUUUGUAAAAUUUGUGACAAAGCUUCUACGAAUGUUAGAUGUUUUUGUCUCAUAUUACAGACAAUUUUGAUAUAUUUUAAAAUACUUACAAUUAUAUAAU